UACGUAGGGCGCAAGCGUUGUCCGGAAUUAUUGGGCGUAAAGAGCUCGUAGGCGGUUUGUCGCGUCGGCUGUGAAAACCCGGAGCUCAACUCCGGGCCUGCAGUCGAUACGGGCAGACUAGAGGUAUGCAGGGGAGAACGGAAUUCCUGGUGUAGCGGUGAAAUGCGCAGAUAUCGAGGAGGAACACCGGUGGCGAAGGCGGUUCUCUGGGCAUUACCUGACGCUGAGGAGCGAAACGCGUGGGGAGCAAACAGGA
rnacentral:rRNA from 1 species